UUGCUGUGGUAUUUUGACUAUACGAAGGUAUUGAAAUAAGAUUUUAAAUGAGUGCUAAGAGAAUGAUUAAACAAUUAAAAGCUUUCUUUAAUUGAAUAAUUGAAUUUAAUUUUUUAGUGCAAAAGCAAAAAUAAAAAUUAGGGACAAGAAGACCCUAUGAAUUUUUUAUUAAAUUUUAUUAAACUUUAUAUAAAAUUUAAUUUAAUUGGGGUGAUGGAAAAAGAAUAAAUAUCUUUUUUUUAAAAGAAAAUUGGUUCCGUUUUUAGCGAUUAAAUGAAAAAAAUACUCUAGGGAUAACAGCGUAAUAAUUUUGGAUAGUUCAUAUAGAUAAAAUAGUUUGCGACCUCGAUGUUGGAUUAGGAU
rnacentral:rRNA from 1 species